CGCGUGAGCAAUCUGCCUUGGAGUGGGGAAUAACGGUUGGAAACAGCCGCUAAUACCGCAUGAUGCGUCUGGGAGGCAUUUCUCUGGACGCCAAAGAUUUAUCGCUCUGAGAUGAGCUCGCGUCUGAUUAGCUAGUUGGCGGGGCAACGGCCCACCAAGGCGACGAUGCGUAGGGGUUCUGAGAGGAAGGUCCCCCACACUGGUACUGAGACACGGACCAGACUCCUACGGGAGGCAGCAG
rnacentral:rRNA from 1 species